rnacentral:rRNA from 1 species
AUUGAACGCUGGCGGCAGGCCUAACACAUGCAAGUCGAACGAGUGGCGGACGGGUGUGUAAUGUCUGGGAAACUGCCCGAUGGAGGGGGAUAACUACUGGAAACGGUAUCUAAUACCCCAUACCAUCUCAUGUGCCCUGAUGGGAUUGGCUAGUAGGUGGGGUAACGGCUCACCUAGGCGACGAUCCCUCUAUGGUCUGAGAGGAUGACCAGCCACACUGGAACUGAGACACGGUCCAUACUCCUACUGUAGGCAGCAGUGGUGAAUAUUGCACAAUGGGCGCAAGCCUGAUGCAGCCAUGCCUCGUGUAUGAAGAAGGCCUUCGGGUUGUAAAGUACUUUCAGCGGGGAUGCGUUACUCGAAGAAGAAGCACCGGCUAACUCCGUGCCAGCAGCCGCGGUAAUUG